GACGAACGCUGGCGGCGUGCUUAACACAUGCAAGUCGAACGGAAAGGCCCUGCUUUUGUGGGGUGCUCGAGUGGCGAACGGGUGAGUAACACGUGAGUAACCUGCCCUUGACUUUGGGAUAACUUCAGGAAACUGGGGCUAAUACCGGAUAGGAGCUCCUGCUGCAUGGUGGGGGUUGGAAAGUUUCGGCGGUUGGGGAUGGACUCGCGGCUUAUCAGCUUGUUGGUGGGGUAGUGGCUUACCAAGGCUUUGACGGGUAGCCGGCCUGAGAGGGUGACCGGCCACAUUGGGACUGAGAGACGGCCCAGACGCCUACGGGAGGCAGCAGUGGGGAAGAUGGCACAAUGGGCGGACGCCUGAUGCAGCAACGCCGCGUGCGGGAUGACGGCGUUCGGGUUGUAAACCGCUUUCGCCUGUGACGAAGCGUGCGUGACGGUAAUGGGUAAAGAAGCACCGGCUAACUACGUG
rnacentral:rRNA from 1 species